GAUGAACGCUGGCGGCGUGCCUAAUACAUGCAAGUCGAGCGAACAGAUGAGGAGCUUGCUCCUCUGACGUUAGCGGCGGACGGGUGAGUAACACGUGGAUAACCUACCUAUAAGACUGGGAUAACUUCGGGAAACCGGAGCUAAUACCGGAUAAUAUAUUGAACCGCAUGGUUCAAUAGUGAAAGACGGUUUUGCUGUCACUUAUAGAUGGAUCCGCGCCGCAUUAGCUAGUUGGUAAGGUAACGGCUUACCAAGGCAACGAUGCGUAGCCGACCUGAGAGGGUGAUCGGCCACACUGGAACUGAGACACGGUCCAGACUCCUACGGGAGGCAGCAGUAGGGCAUCGUCCGGAAGGGGCGAAAGCCUGACGGAGCAACGCCGCGUGAGUGAUGAAGGUCUUCGGAUCGUAAAACUCUGUUAUUAGGGAAGAACAAAUGUGUAAGUAACUAUGCCCGUCUUGACGGUACCUAAGCAGAAAGCCAGGGCUAACUACGU
rnacentral:rRNA from 1 species